rnacentral:lncRNA from 13 species
GAGGGCAUGGGUCACCCCAGCCCUGGCAUCUGCCCAGAACAUGAGAAGGAAGGAACAGUGGUCCUCCAGCAAUGUCACAGGGCCUGCGUGGAUCACCCAGCUGUGUCGGUUAACCUGAACUCCAUCUGCGGAAAUUCGAGGAGGAAAAUACAAAAGUCUUUACAUGAGCACUGAGAAGGCAGACGCAGGCAGAAACCUAUGGGAGGUGGUGAAGCCCUCUACUGUCCUGACCCCACAGUUCCUGUCCCAUGACCAGGGCCAGCUCACCAAGGAGCUGCAGCAGCAUGUAGUCAGUGCCAUCCCCCAUGCGAGUACCUAAGGAAGCUAACUUAGGUACCACUGGGCUUUCUUGGCUGAAGUCCUGGGAGAGGAAACAAGUGUUUUCCAGCUGGGGCAUCACCCGUGACCAGUUGUCAUUUGCAUGGAGCUGGGAUUCUGUUCUGGGUAUGUAUGUACCAUUCUAUAACUUUUUUGUUGAGACAGGGUCUUGCUCUGUUGACCAGGCUGGAGUGCAGUGGUGCGAUCUCAGCUCAUUGCAACCUCCACCUCCUGGGUUCAAGUGAUUCUCCCACCUUAGCCUCCCAACUGGGACUAUGCGUGCCCACCACCAUGCCUGGCUAAUUUUUAUAUUUUUUGGUAGAGACAGUGUUUUGCCAUGUUGGUCAGGCUGAUCUCAAACUCCUGACUUCAGGGAUCUACCCACCUCAGCCUCCAAAAGUGCUGGGUUUACAGGUGUGAGUCAACAUGUCCACCUAAUUCUAUACAUUUUAGCACAGCUGAGAGUCAUCUAACCACCACCACAACCAGUACACAAAAUAAUUUCAUCCCCCAAAAAAUCCCCUCUUUCUACCCUUUUGUGGUCAUUCUCUCCUCUGCUACUGCCCCCUGGCAACCACUGGUCUGUUUUCUGUCCCUAGAGUUUUAGCUAUGCCCAAGUGUCAGAUGAAUGGAUUCCUGUAGAUGUGAAUUUUUGGGUCUGGCUUUUUUUGCCCAGCACAAAGUAUUUGAGAUUCAUCCAAGUUGCUGGUUGUAUCAGUAGUCCACACCUUUUCAUUGCUGAGUAGUAGUUUAUGGUGUGGUUGUACCAUAGCUUAUUAAAUUCCUCUGUUAAAUUGGGUUGUCUCCAGUUUGGGGUGAUGAUGAAUAGACUGCUCUAAACAUC